CUCGUAGGCGGUUCGUCGCGUCCGGUGUGAAAGUCCAUCGCUUAACGGUGGAUCCGUGCCGGGUACGGGCGGGCUUGAGUGCGGUAGGGGAGACUGGAAUUCCCGGUGUAACGGUGGAAUGUGUAGAUAUCGGGAAGAACACCAAUGGCGAAGGCAGGUCUCUGGGCCGCCACUGACGCUGAGGAGCGAAAGCGUGGGGAGCGAACA
rnacentral:rRNA from 1 species